AAUAGAUAUCAGGUAUAAGCGACAUUUUGAUAAAUGGUUACAUUCACAUAGAUGUAUUGACUGUAUUAGUACAAAGAUGUGUACAUAAAUAUUCGUAUAGUGCUACAGAAAUAGUUCGGACAAAUGUUCCUGAAACUUAAAAUAUGUAGAAACAAAGUUCAGAUUGAAGAGAAUCUCCGUGAUAUUCUUAGUGUUUAUUUCAGGCCGAAAUAGAGUUGGUGAUGAAAACAGAUUUAUUUGACAGAACAAUGACUUUAUGCAAUGACAAUGCUUAUAUAUAUAUAUAUUUACUGAUUUAUUUUAUAUUCCCAUAUAGAUUCAAGUAUCGAAUUUCUAUGAGAGAGACACAGUGUUCAUAUGUUAUUUGCAUGGUGGCAAAUAUUACAGACUGUUCGUUUUAUACAUAUUGAUUCGUGAUUUAUUCGUGUUGGUAUUUAGACACACUUAGAUUUAAUUACAGGUCCUUUAAAGAUAUUUUGAGAGAGAAAAUUUUAGACGACAAAUGUUCGUAAUAGCGCGCUUGUAAAUAAUGUAAAUAAAUUUUGCUCUUUUUAAUUUUUCCUGUAUGCAUUUUGAAAUAGUAUUCGUUCAUAAUUUACACAUGCUGAUACGGGAGUAUCAGAUAGGGACCGACGGGGUAAUAUGACCCGACA
rnacentral:lncRNA from 1 species